AAGCUCGUAGUUGAAUUUCGGGAUUGACACAUCGGUCGUGCCUUAAGGGGUAUGAACUGGUGUAGUCAAUUUCUCACCUUCUGGAGAACCGCGAUGCCCUUAAUUGGGUGUCACGGGGAACCAGGACCUUUACUUUGAAAAAAUUAGAGUGUUUAAAGCAGGCAUUUUGCUUGAAUACAUUAGCAUGGAAUAAUAAAAUAGGACGGCGUGAUUCUAUUUUGUUGGUUUCUAGGAUCACCGUAAUGAUUAAUAGGGAUAGUUGGGGGCAUUAGUAUUCAAUUGUCAGAGGUGAAAUUCUUGGAUUUAUUGAAGACUAACUACUGCGAAAGCAUUUGCCAAGGAUGUUUUCAUUAAUCAAGAACGAAAGUUAGGGGAUCGAAGACGAUCAGAUACCGUCGUAGUCUUAACCAUAAACUAUGCCGACUAGGAAUCAGACGAUGUUAAUUUUUUAAUGACUCGUUUGGCACCUUACGGGAAACCAAAGUGUUUGGGUUCCGGGGGGAGUAUGGUCGCAAGGCUGAAACUUAAAGGAAUUGACGGAAGGGCACCACCAGGGGUGGAGCCUGCGGCUUAAUUUGACUCAACACGGGAAAA
rnacentral:rRNA from 1 species